rnacentral:rRNA from 1 species
AAGAAAGUAGAAAAGGGCGCAAGGUGGAUGCCUUGGCUCACGGAGGCGAUGAAGGACGUGAUAAGCUGCGAUAAGCCUCGGGUAGGUGCAAAUAACCUUUAAUCCGAGGAUUUCCGAAUGGGACAACCCGUCUGUCUGAAGGACAGUCACUACGCAAUAGCGUAGAGCUAACGCAGGGAACUGAAACAUCUUAGUACCUGCAGGAAGAGAAAAUAAGUUAAUGAUUCCCCUAGUAGUGGCGAGCGAACGGGGAAGAGCCCAAACCAUGAUUGUGGCAACGCAACCAUGGGGUUGUAGGACCACGCUGUGGCAAGAUGCUUGUGAGAGGAACGUUCUGGAAAGAACGACCAUAGAGGGUGAGAGUCCCGUACUCGAAGCA